AGUCCUAGACGCCAGACCCGCUCGGACCCUCCCGCCAGGUGACAGCCGCCAUCAUGGGGUCUUGGGCCCUGCUGUGGCCUUCCCUGCUGCUUACCGGGCUGCUCGGCCGACCCCCGGGGACCGUGGCCCAGGCCCAGUACUGCUCUGUGAACAAGAACAUCUUUGAAGUAGAGGAGAACAAGAAUGUCACCGAGCCGCUGGUGGACAUCCACGUCCCGGAGGGCCAGGAGGUGACCCUCGGACCCUUGUCCACCCCCUUCGCAUUUCGGAUCCAGGGAAACCAGCUGUUUCUCAAUAUGACUCCUGAUUACGAGGAAAACUCACUGCUUGAGGCUCAGCUGCUGUGUCAGAGCGGAGGCACACUGGACACGAAAGUGAACUCCACCGUCAUCCCUGAGACGCAACUGCAGGCCGAGGACCGUGACAAGGACGACAUUCUGUUCUACACCCUCCAGGAAAUGACAGCAGGUGCCAGUGACUACUUCUCCCUGGUGAGUGUAAACCAUCCCGCCCUGAGGCUGGACCGGCCCCUGGACUUCUACGAGCGGCCGAACAUGGCCUUCCGGCUGCUGGUGCGGGACACUCCGGAGGAGAAUGUGCAACCCAGCCACACUGCCACCGCCACGCUGGUGCUGAACGUGGUGCCCGCCGACCUGCGGCCCCCCUGGUUCCUGCCCUGCACCUUCUCAGACGGCUACGUCUGCAUCCAAGCUCAGUACCACGGGGCUGUCCCCACGGGGCACACACUGCCAUCCCCCCUCGUCCUGCGUCCCGGACCCAUCUACGCUGAGGACGGAGACCGCGGCAUCAACCAGCCCAUCAUCUACAGCAUCUUUAGUGGAAACGUGAAUGGUACAUUCGUCAUCCACCCAGACUCGGGCAACCUCACCAUGGCCAGGAGUGUCCCCAGCCCCGUGACCUUCCUUCUGCUGGUGAAGGGCCAACAGGCCGACCUCGCCCGUUACUCAGUGACCCAGGUCACCGUGGAGGCUGUGGCUGCAGCCGGGAGCCCGCCCCGCUUCCCCCAGAGCCUGUACCGUGGCACUGUGGCGCUUGGCGCUGGAGCGGGCACUGUGGUCAAGGAUGCAGCUGCCCCCUCUCAGCCUCUGAGGAUCCAGGCUCAGGACCCAGAGUUCUCGGACCUCAACUCGGCCAUCACGUAUCGAAUUACCAACCACUCACACUUCCGGAUGGAGGGAGAGGUUGUGCUGACCACCACCACACUGGCACAGGCGGGAGCCUUCUACGCAGAGGUGCAGGGCAGGGCAGGCGGGCAUCUCCAAGGGUGUGGGGCUUAAAGAUGUGCCCAGG
rnacentral:sRNA from 1 species